UAUGUAAGCACAGCAUUUUGCUGCUGGCAAGCCAGGUAAAAACAUCACCUGGCUGUGAGGCUUCAGGAAACACCCUGGAGCUGACUGAAUUGGUCCUCAUUCAGAGUUAACUCACUCCAACUGCUGAUCAACACAUGCCUCACAUCAGCUCAGUCGGGUACAGAGACUGAGCAACUACUAUCCACCAGAAAGCUUGAAAUAUGAUCUAGUCAAGGAGCAGACAUGAGAUGGCUGACCAGCUGCAUACCAAAAAGAAUUGAUUCAUUUUCAAUCAUCCAUACUUUGAAAAUGUUUCCUCAAACUAUUCUAGGAAUACUUUGGAAUGACAAACCCUUUUAAAGAUCAAUUUGUAAAUACUUGCUAAUUGAAAAAGGGGAUACACUUAUGGAUGCUGUGCUUAAUGAAGUUUUGUUCAGUUCUACUGAUGCUUGAAAGAAAAGGUAAUUCAUUUUAGGUUUGUUUUAAAUAAAGUUUAUAUAUUCAGGACCUCAAAUAAGUUUCACUGAGGUCAGU